rnacentral:rRNA from 1 species
CCUACGGGCGGCAGCAGUGGGGAAUAUUGGGCAAUGGGCGAAAGCCUGACCCAGCAACGCCGCGUGAAGGAAGAAGGCUUUCGGGUUGUAAACUUCUUUUGACAGGGAAGAGCAGAAGACGGUACCUGUCGAAUAAGCCACGGCUAACUACGUGCCAGCAGCCGCGGUAAUACGUAGGUGGCAAGCGUGGUCCGGAUUUACUGGGGGGAAAGGUCGUGAAGCCGGGCUGACAAGGCAGAUGUGAAAUCCGGGGGUUCAACCCCCGAACUGCAUUUGAAACUGUUGGUCUUGAGUAUCGGAGAGGCAGGCGGAAUUCCUAGUGUAGCGGUGAAAUGCGUAGAUAUUAGGAAGAACACCAGUGGCGAAGGCGAUUCUCUGGACUGUAACUGACGCUGAGGCUCGAAAGCGUGGGGAGCAAACAGGAUUAGAUACCCCAGUAGUC